rnacentral:lncRNA from 1 species
CUCUUCCUCAUUUAUCCUCCUCCUCAUUUAUCCUCCUCUUCCUCAUUUAUCCUCCUCCUCCUCCUCCAUUUUGAUGUUGUAUCUUGAUGACAUAUUUAUCAGUAUCAUUUCUUCUGUGUCUUGUGAGAAAUGUGGGGUGUGUGUGUGCGCACGCGUGUGUGUGUGUGCGGCUGUGUAGUGUGUUAUAGCUGUAUAGAGCUGUGUAGUGUGUUAUAGCUCUGUGUAGUGUGUUAUAGCUGUAUAGAGUUGUGUAGUGUGUUAUAGCUGUAUAGAGCUGUGUAGUGUGUUAUAAAGUUGUGUAGUGUGUUAUAGCUGUAUAGAGCUGUGUAGUGUGUUAUAGAGCUGUGUAGUGUGUUAUAGAGCUGUGUAGCUGUGUAGUGUGUUAUAGCUGUAUAGAGCUGUGUAGUGUGUUAUAGCUGUAUAGAGCUGUGUAGUGUGUUAUAGCUGUAUAGAGCUGUGUAGUGUGUUAUAGGCUGUGUAGUCUGUAUAGAGCUGUGUAGUCUGUUAUAGAGCUGUGUAGUGUGUUAUAGAGCUGUGUAGUCUGUUAUAGAGCUGUGUAGUGUGUUAUAGCUGUAUAGAGCUGUGUAGUGUGUUAUAGCUGUAUAGAGCUGUGUAGUGUGUUAUAGCUGUAUAGAGCUGUGUAGUGUGUUAUAGCUGUAUAGAGCUGUGUAGUGUGUUAUAGCUGUAUAGAGCUGUGUAGUGUGUUAUAGCUGUAUAGAACUGUGUUGUGUGUUAUAGCUGUAUAGAGCUGUGUAGUGUGUGGUAGUCCAGUCACAGUGUGUGUUCUGCUCUGCUCUGCUACACCAAGUGUCCUGUCUGUCCUGUC